rnacentral:rRNA from 1 species
CGUGAGGAACCUGCCUUUCAGAGGGGGACAACAGUUGGAAACGACUGUUAAUACCGCAUGACACAUUGGAGUCGCAUGGCUCUGAUGUCAAAGAUUUAUCGCUGAAAGAUGGCCCCGCGUCUGAUUAGCUAGUUGGUGAGGUAACGGCCCACCAAGGCGACGAUCAGUAGCCGGACUGAGAGGUUGACCGGCCACAUUGGGACUGAGAUACGGCCCAG